AAUCAACGCUGGCGGCGUGCCUCAGACAUGCAAGUCGAACGCGAAAGUCUCCUUCGGGGGACAAGUAGAGUGGCGCACGGGUGAGUAACACGUAGGUAAUCUACCUUUGGAUGGGGAAUAACAACCGGAAACGGUUGCUAAUACCGCAUAAUGCAGCGGCACCUAAUGGUGACAGUUGUUAAAGCGGGGGAUCGAAAGACCUCGCGUCUGAAGAGGAGCCUGCGGCGGAUUAGCUAGNGGUAAGGUAAUGGCUUACCAAGGCUACGAUCCGUAACCGGCCUGAGAGGGCGGUACGGGUCACACUGACACUGACAUACGGGUCAGACUCCUACGGGAGGCAGCAGUCGGGAAUUUUGGGCAAUGGGCGAAAGCCUGACCCAGCAACGCCGCGU
rnacentral:rRNA from 1 species